GAUAGUGAACCAGUACUGUGAAGGAAAGGCGAAAAGAACCCCGGGAGGGGAGUGAAAUAGAACCUGAAACCGCAUACAUACAAACAGUAGGAGCCCCUGCAGUGGGGUGACUGCGUACCUUUUGCAUAAUGGGUCAGCGACUUACGUUUUGUGGCGAGCUUAACCGAGUAGGGGAGGCGUAGCGAAAGCGAGUUCGAAUAGAGCGAAGAGUCUCAAGGCGUAGACCCGAAACCAGAUGAGCUAUCCAUGGCCAGGUUGAAGGUGUGGUAACACACACUGGAGGACCGAACCGACUAGUGUUGCAAAAUUAGCGGAUGAGCUGUGGAUAGGGGUGAAAGGCUUAACAAAUCUGGAGAUAGCUGGUUCUCCCCGAAAACUAUUGAGGUAGUGCCUCGUGUAUUGCUCCAGGGGGUAGAGCACUGUUAUGGCUAGGGGGACAUGGCGUCUUACCAAACCAUGGCAAACUCCGAAUACUUGGAAGUAAGAGCACGGGAGACAGAGCACCGGGUGCUAACGUCCGGACUCAAGAGGGAAACAACCCAGACCGCCGUUUAAGGUCCCAAAUAUUGACUAAGUGGAAAACGAAGUGUGAAGGCUAAGACAGUCAGGAAGUUGGCUUAGAAGCAGCCAUCCUUCAAAGAAAGCGUAAUAGCUCACUGAUCGAGUCCUCAUGCGCGGAAGAUGUAACGGGGCUAAGUCAAUAACCGAAAGCGCGGAUUUGCAUGAAAAUGCAAGUGGUAGGGGAGCGUUCUGUAAGCCUGCGAAGGUGGUUCGAGAGGACUGCUGGAGGUAUCAGAAGUGCGAAUGCUGACAUGAGUAACGUUAAAGCGGGUGAAAAGCCCGCUCGCCGUAAGCCCAAGGUUUCCUGCUCUACGUUCAUCGGAGCAGGGUGAGUCGGCCCCUAAGGCGAGGCUGAGAAGCGUAGUCGAUGGGAAGCAGAUUAAUAUUUCUGCACCAUGUGCAAGUGCGAUGGGGGGACGGAGUGCGAAAGAUCAUCCGGGUGUUGGAUGUCCCGGUUUGUGAGUGUAGAAGGCCGACAGGCAAAUCCGUCGGCGGAUCUUCGAGACAAAGCAUCGAGGUUCUACGGAACCGAAGUGAUCGGAAGUGCUUCCAGGAAAAGCCUCUAAGCUUCAGCUUGCAUAUGACCGUACCGUAAACCGACACUGGUGGGCGAGUUGAAUAUACUCAGGCGCUUGAGAGAACUCGGGAGAAGGAACUCGGCAAAUUGACACCGUAACUUCGGAAGAAGGUGUGCCGUAGUACCGUGAGAGGAGAGACACCUUGAGCGGGAAACGGUCUCAGAGAAUAGGUGGCUGCGACUGUUUAUUAAAAACACAGCACUCUGCAAAGUCGAAAGACGACGUAUAGGGUGUGAUGCCUGCCCGGUGCUGGAAGAUUAAUUGAUGGGCUGAGAGGCCUUGAUCGAAGUCCCAGUAAACGGCGGCCGUAACUAUAACGGUCCUAAGGUAGCGAAAUUCCUUGUC
rnacentral:rRNA from 1 species